GGUGUGUGUGUGUGUAUGUG
rnacentral:miRNA from 1 species